UUUGCCAGUGAAAGGGUAAACACAUCUGAUCGCUCUAGAACUAUGAAAAGCCAGAAAUUCUGGAAUUUUACAGCAAUAAUGGAUUCUGUAUAUCUAGUUACAGUUCACUAUAGAGCAUUACUGCUGAAGAUUGCUAAAAUUUUCUAAAUCAUUGGCCUGAAGUGCAACAAUUUUCAAGUGGACAAAAUACCACUGUUCAACUAUGACUAGAUAUUUCAUCUGAGGAGUCAUAAGUUACAAACUACAAAUACCAUUUUUGCAAAAGAAGAGGUAAAGAUAUUACUGUUUGCCAUCUACUGUUUCCUUCCCUGCGCAGUAGAAGAUAAUCAGAUGUGGACUAUCAUCAGGGGCUAGAGAAGAAUAGUAUAUACACCUCAAAAUAUGGAUUGUGCUUCCAAGAUCCUGGGUACAGACUUCAAAACCUGCUGAUUGCUCCUAUUACAUACAAUUAUCUGGCUUUCCAUUGGCUAAAUGGCUCAGAGGAUCCUCAGGAGGAGAUACAGGAGUGGGGAUUUAAGGGCCUGCCAACACUUCAUAUCCUGCUGGAAACUCAUACCUAAGAUAAUGGAGUUGGAGGAUUCGGAUAUCAAGGAACAGAAUUACUAAACUUUGCAGGAACAUAGUUUCUUGACAUCCUGCUUUCCAUAAACUUCUUUUUUAAACCCUCAGAAGAUGGAUUCUCAGCAGGAUAGAGAGAUAUCAAGGACAGAAAUCUCAGGAGAGACAAACUUCUGGGCAACCUUGAGGUGGUGUGUUUCCCAAGGAAUCUGGAGUAUUACUUCUGACACGAAAGUACCUGAAAUCCCCAGGGCUAGAGCCAUAUUCAUCAGAAGAAAUAAAGCCCCCAUCACUUGGGGACCCACAGACAGAUGAACUAGAAGGCCUGUUCACCAGGCCCAAUAGAAGCAGAUCUGCCCACCUCAAUAAAGAAGAAGUUCUCCGAGUGCCCACAGCGGCGGAUGUUCAUUAGCUGCAAGUGGACAGCAGGUACCUCUGAAUUCAGCUUUACUAGGUAGAUAGCCUUGCUAGAUAGGCACAACCUGUACACCCCAGUCAGGUUCUUUGUCUGCCCUAGUCCCUUGGGCUUCACAUUAACCUGCCACACCUCUUUGUAUAUGGUGCCUGGUCUAAGCGCAGCUCCAUAAUGCUCAUCA